ensembl:lncRNA
GGAUGGGGACAUCAUGGAGUAAUGGGGUCAACAUAGGUGGAUGGGGACACCAUAAAUGAUGGGGACACCACAGUGUGAUGGGGACACUUUAAUGGGAUGGGGACCCCACUAUGUGAUGAGGACAUUAUGGGGUGAUGGGGACACCAUGGGGGGAUGGGGACACCACAGUGGGAUGGGGACACCCCAAUGGGAUGGGGACACCAUGGAAGGAUGGGGACAUUAUGGGGUGAUGGGGACACCAUGGGGGGAUGGGGACACCACAGUGUGAUGGGGACACUUUAAUGGGAUGGGGACCCCACUAUGUGAUGAGGACAUUAUGGGGUGAUGGGGACACCAUAGAAGGAUGGGACACACCAGUGGGAUGGGGACACCACAGUGGGAUGGGGACGUUGUGGGGUGAUGGGGACACCAUGGAGUGAUGGGGACACCUCAUUGUAAUGGGGACACCACAGUGGGAUGGGGACAUUGUGGGGUGAUGGGGACACCACAUGUGAUGGGGACACUUUAAUGGGAUGGGGACAUUGUGGGGUGAUGGGGACAUUAUGGGGGGAUGGGGACAUUGUUGGGGGAUGGGGACAUUGUGGGGUCAUGGGGACACCCCAAUGGGAUGGGGACAGUAUGGAGUGAUGGGGACACCUCAUUGUAAUGGGGACACCAUGGGGGGAUGGGGACACCACAGUGGGAUGGGGACACCACAGAAGGAUGGGGACACUUUAAUGGGAUGGGGACAUUGUGGAAGGAUGGGGACAGCAUGGAAGGAUGGGGACACCAUGGGGUGAUGUGGAGACCCCAAUGGGAUGGGGACACCAUGGAA